UGGGGAAUUUUGGACAAUGGGGGAAACACUGAUCCAGCCAUCCCGCGUGUGCGAUGAAGGCCUUCGGGUUGUAAAGCACUUUUGGCAGGAAAGAAACGUCAUGGGUUAAUACCCCGUGAAACUGACGGUACCUGCAGAAUAAGCACCGGCUAACUACGUGCCAGCAGCCGCGGUAAUACGUAGGGUGCAAGCGUUAAUCGGAAUUACUGGGCGUAAAGCGUGCGCAGGCGGUUCGGAAAGAAAGAUGUGAAAUCCCAGAGCUCAACUUUGGAACUGCAUUUUUAACUACCGGGCUAGAGUGUGUCAGAGGGAGGUGGAAUUCCGCGUGUAGCAGUGAAAUGCGUAGAUAUGCGGAGGAACACCGAUGGCGAAGGCAGCCUCCUGGGAUAACACUGACGCUCAUGCACGAAAGCGUGGGGAGCAAACAGG
rnacentral:rRNA from 1 species